UACGUAGGGUGCGAGCGUUGUCCGGAAUUAUUGGGCGUAAAGAGCUCGUAGGCGGUUUGUUGCGUCGGCUGUGAAAUCCCGAGGCUCAACCUCGGGUCUGCAGUCGAUACGAGCAAACUAGAGUGUUGCAGGGGAGACUGGAAUUCCUGGUGUAGCGGUGAAAUGCGCAGAUAUCAGGAGGAACACCGGUGGCGAAGGCGGGUCUCUGGGCAACAACUGACGCUGAGGAGCGAAAAGCGUGGGGAGCGAACAGG
rnacentral:rRNA from 1 species